UACUCCUACGGGAGGCAGCAGUGGGGAAUAUUGGACAAUGGGGGGAACCCUGAUCCAGCCAUGCCGCGUGUGUGAAGAAGGCCUUAUGGUUGUAAAGCACUUUAAGCGAGGAGGAGGCUGCUGAGACUAAUACUCUUGGAUAGUGGACGUUACUCGCAGAAUAAGCACCGGCUAACUCUGUGCCAGCAGCCGCGGUAAUACAGAGGGUGCGAGCGUUAAUCGGAUUUACUGGGCGUAAAGCGUGCGUAGGCGGCUUUUUAAGUCGGAUGUGAAAUCCCCGAGCUUAACUUGGGAAUUGCAUUCGAUACUGGGAAGCUAGAGUAUGGGAGAGGAUGGUAGAAUUCCAGGUGUAGCGGUGAAAUGCGUAGAGAUCUGGAGGAAUACCGAUGGCGAAGGCAGCCAUCUGGCCUAAUACUGACGCUGAGGUACGAAAGCAUGGGGAGCAAACAGGAUUAGAUACCCUGGUAGUCCAUGCCGUAAACGAUGUCUACUAGCCGUUGGGGCCUUUGAGGCUUUAGUGGCGCAGCUAACGCGAUAAGUAGACCGCCUGGGGAGUACGGUCGCAAGACUAAAACUCAAAUGAAUUGACGGGGGCCCGCACAAGCGGUGGAGCAUGUGGA
rnacentral:rRNA from 1 species